UACCAGCACCCCGAGUGGUCGGGACGAUUAUUGGGCCUAAAGCAUCCGUAGCCGGUCCUGCAAGUCUUCCGUUAAAUCCAGCUGCUCAACAGAUGGGCUGCGGAGGAUACUACAGGGCUAGGAGGCGGGAGAGGCAAGCGGUACUUUAUGGGUAGGGGUAAAGUCCGUUGAUCCAUAGAAGACCACCAGUGGCGAAGGCGGCUUGCCAGAACGCGCUCGACGGUGAGGGAUGAAAGCUGGGGGAGCAAACCGG
rnacentral:rRNA from 1 species